AGCUCCAAUAGCGUAUAUUAAAGUUGUUGCGGUAAAAGCUCGUAGUUGGAUUUCUGUUGAGAAUGACCGGUCCAUACCAUGUAUGCGCAUCUGGUUCAGUCUUGGCAUCCUUUCGAAACGCUGUUCUGCGCUUGAUUGCGUGGUCAGAGGUUCGGAACUUUUACUUUGAGGAAAUUAGAGUGUUCACGGCAGGCUAUCGCCCGAAUACGUUAGCAUGGAAUAAUGAUAUAGGAUCUCGGUUCUAUUUUGUUGGUUUCUAGAAUUGAGGUAAUGAUUAAUAGGGACAAUUGGGGGCAUUCGUAUCAACACGUCAGAGGUGGAAUUCUUGGAUUGUGUUGCGACGAACUACUGCGAAAGCAUUUGCCAAGGAUGUUUUCA
rnacentral:rRNA from 1 species